UUCCAGACUCCUACGGGAGGCAGCAGUGAGGAAUAUUGGUCAAUGGGCGGGAGCCUGAACCAGCCAAGCCGCGUGAAGGAAGAAGGCGCCAAGCGUCGUAAACUUCUUUUGUCGGGGAACAAAGGGCGCCACGUGUGGCGUUGUGAGUGUACCCGAAGAAAAAGCAUCGGCUAACUCCGUGCCAGCAGCCGCGGUAAUACGGAGGAUGCGAGCGUUAUCCGGAUUUAUUGGGUUUAAAGGGAGCGUAGAUGGGUUGUUAAGUCAGUUGUGAAAGUUUGCGGCUCAACCGUAAAAUUGCAAUUGAUACUGGCAGUCUUGAGUACAGUUGAGGUAGGCGGAAUUCGUGGUGUAGCGGUGAAAUGCUUAGAUAUCACGAAGAACCCCGAUUGCGAAGGCAGCUUACUAAACUGUGACUGACAUUGAUGCUCGAAAGUGUGUGUAUCAAACAGGAUUAGAUACCCGAGUA
rnacentral:rRNA from 1 species